rnacentral:lncRNA from 1 species
CUUCACUCUGGAUGAUUCUAGAAUACUAGCCCCUUCUAUUGAAGUUGGAAGGAUUAUCUGCUCUAUCAGAAGGAUUACAGCCGGUUGAACAUAGAUCACAAUUUCCAUGUGCCAGAAAUCUCCAACUGGUGGUUUUGUAGAAUUUGGUGGGGUUGUUUCUUAAGAGGUUUAGUACUUAGGAGUUUCAAAAUAGUAUUUUAAUAGGAUCUGCUCCUUUCUAGGACUCCUAUGAGUUAUAAAUUCCUAGCCUUGAAGGGUGAUUGACAUUUUAGGAGUCACCAAGUCUAGCCUUUGUCCCCCUGUGAAAUAUUCUCUUCUGUAUUGUCCCUGACUCAUUCCACCUGGGGGGGUGGAUUCCUUCCAUACUUGGUGAGGCAUCCUGUUCUGUUGAUGGAGCCCUUGGUUAAAAGGAUCUUUUACCUUGAACCAGAAUUUGAUUCAUAUUUGUCCUAUUCCCCUGCUUUUAACCACAGUGAGUCUACUGGCAUUUGUAAUGGAUGACGUUUCAAGUAUGUGAAAGUAGCAUUCAUUCCUUGUUUCUGCUUUUCCACAUGAGCCCCCUCUCCCCUCAUUCUUCAGUGUUUCUCAACAGGCUAUAGUUUUUGGAUCCUUCAGCAUCUGGCUGAAAUUCCAUAGUAGAUCCAAAUGCAAAAUAAGCGUUUAACCAAUUAUCUUUUCUCUGAAUCUAUUGGCCUGGUGGAUAGGGAUGGACUGAAAGUGAUCAGAUGCUGUCAUCUUCGUGCGUUCAGUUCUCAUUUCCCUUUUACCAACAUUUGUUCUUCCACUUUAAAGAUGCUUAUGAUUUGUAGGGGAAGGAGCCAAAAUAUAAGUUGAAUGAGUCUACCUUCUGUCAGUCUUCUAUCAUUUUCUCCAAAUGUGGCUUUAACCCAUCCUGCAUGGGGAUGACAGUACAGGCAGAACUUGGUUCUUGGGAGCAAGGAAAGUUGAUAUUAAAAUCAUUUGUGGCCCUCCAGAAUACAGUCCUACCCAACCAAAUCUUAGUGUUUAAUUUCUCUUGCUCAAAUCAUUAAAAAUCAUUAAGAAACUGCUUUAAGCCUAAGUGUCUGUACCAAAGUGCUAAAA